AUUGGUGAUGAACAUUUGGGCAUGGGUAGUCCAAAAAUUGGAGAUCUGUUUUAGAUGUUUUUGAAAGAUCUAAACCCAGAGAAAGGUAGAGGAGAAAGAAAUCUUUAUUUUGGUGGCCUCUGACUGGAGCUAUGGUGGUGGAUUUGACAGUAGUGGCUAGGAUUACAAAGGGAAGAGAGGAAAAAAAAGAAAGAAGAGAGAGACAAGUGAGAGUAGUGAG
rnacentral:lncRNA from 1 species